ensembl:lncRNA
GCUCCUGCCGCACUGCUGGUGGGAGUGGUAAUUGGGGUUCUGAGCUCACGAGUGACGUGGCUGUCACGUGAGCAGGAGCCGACGUGUGCAGACGUCCUUCUAAUCCCGGUCUUUCGCUUGGUCCGGUUGCCAUCUCCCUAUUACCUCGAGGGCUGGCGGGCCUGUGGCCAGGAGAGGAGGAGGAGUAGGGCGCUGUACCACUCGGAGCAAAGGAAUAAAGAAUCUGCCCCGAACCCCUGCAAGUCAGUGUAAAGGACCUUGGAUUCGGAAAGUCUGGUGUUGGGACUGUCUUAAGUGCUGUUCUGUCUGCCUAGCAAUCUGUCUCUGCCCUGUCGCCUGUCUGUGUUUUUGGAUCUUGCGGCUGAAGGCCAAUCCAACUCUAGGAGCAGGAAGAAGAGGAAAACUGUCCAGAAACAAGUCCCCCAGUAUCUGUAGCUGCAGCAGAGCCUGCUGGCUGUAGCUGAAGACUCCACAGCCCCCUCCCCCUGCCCCCUGACUUGGGAGCACUCUUCUGGCCAGAGCAAACC